rnacentral:misc_RNA from 1 species
CGCGAUCUCCAACAAACCGAUCCGGCGAACAGACUUCCCGUCGAGGCAGCCUACGGCCACUUCCGCCGCCGAUGCUACGACUGAGGAGCAUACGGAGAGUCUUCCGUCGGCGGAGGUGAAUAACUGGGCUUGUUGUUGGACUCCGGGUUGGACUUCCUGCUACUGCACAUUGAGUUGCGAGAAGCUUGAAUUUCUGCAAAGUAGCCAUUUUCGUUGCGAUCUGAGGUACGUAUUUCGACAAAUUUUAACUAUUGUUUUUUUGGUUAGCAAAAAUGGUAGUGAAGAUGGGGGG